rnacentral:tRNA from 1 species
GAAGUAUGUAUUGAUCAAAUAAUAGCUGCUAACUAAUUAUUUUAAUGGUUAAAAUCCAUUUAUACUUCU